rnacentral:rRNA from 1 species
AUUGAACGCUGGCGGCAUGCCUUACACAUGCAAGUCGAACGGCAGCACGGGGGCAACCCUGGUGGCGAGUGGCGAACGGGUGAGUAAUGCAUCGGAACGUGCCCAGUAGUGGGGGAUAACCCGGCGAAAGCCGGGCUAAUACCGCAUACGACCUACGGGUGAAAGCGGGGGACCGUAAGGCCUCGCGCUAUUGGAGCGGCCGAUGUCUGAUUAGCUAGUUGGCGGGGUAAGAGCCCACCAAGGCGACGAUCAGUAGCUGGUCUGAGAGGACGACCAGCCACACUGGGACUGAGACACGGCCCAGACUCCUACGGGAGGCAGCAGUGGGGAAUUUUGGACAAUGGGCGCAAGCCUGAUCCAGCCAUGCCGCGUGAGUGAAGAAGGCCUUCGGGUUGUAAAGCUCUUUCGGCCGGGAAGAAAUCGCACGGGCUAAUACCCUGUGUGGAUGACGGUACCGGAAUAAGAAGCACCGGCUAACUACGUGCCAGCCGCCGCCGUAAAAC